rnacentral:rRNA from 1 species
UACGGGAGGCAGCAGUGGGGAAUAUUCCACAAUGGGGGAAACCCUGAACCAGCCAUGCCGCGUGAGGGAAUAAGGCCCUACGGGUCGUAAACCUCUUUUGCCGGGGGAUAAGGACGCCCACGUGUGGGUGUUUGAAGGUACCCGGAGAAUAAGCAUCGGCUAACUCCGUGCCAGCAGCCGCGGUAAU